rnacentral:rRNA from 1 species
GGAGGGUGCAAGCGUUGUUCGGAAUUACUGGGCGUAAAGAGCGUGUAGGGCGGGCGUUUUUAUGUCGGGUGUGAAAGCCCUGGGCCCAACCCAGGAAGUGCGCCCCCGAAACUGAAAAGCUUGAGUACGAUAGAGGAAGACGGAAUUCCCAGUGUAGAGGUGAAAUUCGUAGAUAUUGGGAAGAACACCGGUGGCGAAAGCGGUUUUCUGGAUCGAUACUGACGCUGAGACGCGAAAGCGUGGGGAGCAAACAGGAUUAGAUACCCUGGUAGUCCACGCCGUAAACGAUGGAUACUAGUUGUUGGAAGCUUUUAAACUUUCAGUGACGACGCUAACGCAUUAAGUAUCCCGCCUGGGGAGUACGGCCGCAAGGUUA